rnacentral:rRNA from 1 species
UUAUUUAUUUUAUUAUAUUUAUUUUUUGUUUAUUUAAUUAUUUAAUAAAAAUAAUUUUGUUUAAUUUUGUCUUAGUAUAUUUUAUAGAACUGAUUUUUAUAAUUAUAGUUUAUUGGUAAUGUAAGUGUAUUAUGAAAUAUUAUUUUAAAUUUUAAAAAGUAAAUUUUAUUUAUUGUACCUUUUGUAUCAGGGUUUAUCAAAAUUUUAGUAUUUAUUUUACUUGUCUCGAUUUAGGUUGAUUUAUAAAUAAUUUAUAGUUAAUGUAUCAUAAUUAUUAUUAAAUUAUUUAUAGAAAUGAAAUGUUAAUCGUUUCCUAAGAUAUCUAGUUUCUUAAGAAAAAAUUUAAUUUUUUAAAGUUAAUUGUUUUUAUUUAAUUUUUUAGGUAUAAGUAUUAACUUAUUUAUUCUUUAAGGGAUAAGCUUUGAAGUUAAUAACCUAUAAUUUGUUUAUUAAAAUAUAAUAGUAAGCUUUAGACCAGCUAUCUUUAAGAUUACGUUUUAGUUCAUUAUUUUUUAUUUUGAUUUUAUAGAUAUUUUAGGUUUUUUAUUAAGAUUAUUAAUUUAAUUUUUUAAUUUUUGUAAUAAUGAUGGAAUUAGUAUAUUUAUUUGUAUAUAAUUUUUACCCUGGGAAUCUAUAAUAAGGAACUAGGC